UCUAAUAUGGCAGAUUAGUGCAAAAGAUUUAAGCUCUUUAUAUAAAGUUUCCACUUUUAUUAGAA
rnacentral:tRNA from 1 species